GAAUAUUGGGCAAUGGAGGCAACUCUGACCCAGCCAUGCCGCGUGCAGGAAGACGGCCCUAUGGGUUGUAAACUGCUUUUGUACGGGAAGAAACACUCCUACGUGUAGGAGCUUGACGGUACCGUAAGAAUAAGGCUCGGCUAACUCCGUGCCCGCAGCCGCGGUAAUACGGAGGAUCCAAGCGUUAUCCGGAAUCAUUGGGUUUAAAGGGUCCGUAGGCGGCCUUAUAAGUCAGUGGUGAAAUCUCCUAGCUCAACUAGGAAACUGCCAUUGAUACUGUAGGGCUUGAAUUUUUGUGAAGUAACUAGAAUAUGUAGUGUAGCGGUGAAAUGCUUAGAUAUUACAUGGAAUACCAAUUGCGAAGGCAGGUUACUAACAAACGAUUGACGCUGAUGGACGAAAGCGUGGGGAGCGAACAGG
rnacentral:rRNA from 1 species